GCGCUCACAUCUUGGGAGAUUAUUAUUGCCGCCAACCAUCAAACCUUCAUUACCGAAGAAAUUCGCAUCCAAAAAUGCUAUUCAGGAAGUCCCUUGGGAUACAUUGGGUUUUGUGAGCAACCUUUUUCUGGUCCCCCAAGAAAGGAGGCGGAAUAUGACCAACCAUCGAUCUCCUCUCCUUUGAAUGCAUUUGUCCAAUACCGCCACUUCAAGAUGGAGGUUAUCCAUUGCCUUCGGGACAUUCUGUUAGAUUGAAUGGUCAAACUGGACUUGUGAGACGCGUAUCUGACAAUCCCUCUUGCAGAAAAUCAUCAGAAUUUCCUCCAGUUUCAGUGGCAAGGGACAAAUUGUAGGUUUUCAUGUCUCCCAUUUGACCUUUCCUCUGCUCCCUGGUGCCUCACAAAGGUACUAAAGCUGGUGGUUGCUUGUCUACACACAGGAGGUGAGUAUUAUUCCCACCCUUCCCUCUUGGAAUUAUUUGUUUUUUAUUCAGUUUCUUCAUACCAUCUGUAGAUUCUGGUGAGUGCAGAAAAAUACCUCUUACGCAAGUAGGCGUAAGAGGUUUGGUUUGGUG